rnacentral:rRNA from 1 species
CCGCGUGAAGGAUGAAGGUCUUCGGAUCGUAAACUUCUUUUGUUAGGGAACAAUUUUGAGCGUACCUAACGAAUAAGUCACGGCUAAUCACGUGCCAGCAGCCGCGGUAAUACGUGAGUGGCUAGCGUUAUCCGGAAUUAUUGGGCGUAAAGCGUCAGUGGGAGGUUUGUUAAGUGAGAUGUAAAAGCCUUUGGCUUAACCAAGGGACGGCAUCUCAUACUGGCAGGCUAGAGGAAGGUAGAGGCAAACGGAAUUCUCGGAGUAGGGGUAAUAUCCGUAGAGCCCGAGAGGAACACCAAUAGCGAAGGCAGUUUGCUGGACCUUUCCUGACUCUCAGUGACGAAAGCGUGGGGAGCGAACCGGAUUAGAUACCCGGGUAGUCCACGCCGUAAACUAUGGGUACUUGGUGCAGGUGGUAUCGAUCCCUUCUGUGCCUAAGCUAACGCGUUAAGUACCCCGCCUGGGGAGUACGGCCGCAAGGCUAAAACUCAAAGGAAUUGACGGGGAUCCACACAAGCGGUGGAGCAUGUGGUUUAAUUCGACGAUAAGCGAGGAACCUUACCUAGGCUUGACAUCUCGGGAACCCUUUGGAAACAAGGGGGUGCCCCUCGGGGAACCCGAUGACAGGUGCUGCAUGGUCGUCGUCAGCUCGUGCCGUGAGGUGUACGGUUAAGUCCGAUAACGAGCGCAACCCUUGUCACUAGUUGUAUUUCUCUAGUGAGACUGCCUCCGUAAGGAGGAGGAAGGUGGGGAUGACGUCAGAUCAGCAUGGCUCUUACGCCUAGGGCUACACACGUGCUACAAUGGGGUAUACAAUGGGUAGCCAACCCGCGAGGGGGAGCUAAUCUCAUCAAAGUACCUCCAAGUUCGGAUUGAAGGCUGCAAUUCGCCUUCAUGAAGUUGGAUCGCUAGUAACCGCCA